rnacentral:rRNA from 1 species
GACGAACCGUACGAACGUUAUUCGGAAUCACUGGGCUUAAAGGGUGCGUAGGCGGCGCGACAAGUUGGGUGUGAAAUCCCUCGGCUCAACCGAGGAACUGCGCCCAAAACUGUCGUGCUCGAGGGAGACAGAGGUGAGCGGAACUUCCAGUGGAGCGGUGAAAUGUGUUGAUAUUGGAAGGAACACCGGAGGCGAAAGCGGUGCACUGGGGUUGGUCUGACGCUGAGGCACGAAAGCCAGGGGAGCGAACGGG